rnacentral:tRNA from 1 species
UGGGAUGUCGUCUAACUGGUAGGACGGUAGUUUUUGAAGCUAUCUAUCGGGGUUCGAAUCCACGCAUCCCAG